AACGAACGCUGGCGGCAGGCUUAACACAUGCAAGUCGAGCGCCCCGCAAGGGGAGCGGCAGACGGGUGAGUAACGCGUGGGAACGUACCCUUUGCUACGGAAUAGCUCCGGGAAACUGGAAUUAAUACCGUAUGUGCCCUACGGGGGAAAGAUUUAUCGGCAAAGGAUCGGCCCGCGUUGGAUUAGCUAGUUGGUGGGGUAAUGGCCUACCAAGGCGACGAUCCAUAGCUGGUCUGAGAGGAUGAUCAGCCACAUUGGGACUGAGACACGGCCCAAACUCCUACGGGAGGCAGCAGUGGGGAAUAUUGGGCAAUGGGCGCAAGCCUGGUCCAGCCAUGCCGCGUGAGUGAUGAAGGCCUUAGGGUUGUAAAGCUCUUUCACCGGAGAAGAUAAUGACGGUAUCCGGAGAAGAAGCCCCGGCUAACUUCGUGCCAGCCGCCGCUGUAAAAC
rnacentral:rRNA from 1 species